UUGCGUCCAUAUCACGCUGAUACGUCACUUCGCAUACGAUCACUGAAGUUAAGCAACAUCAAGCCUGGUCAGUACCUAGAUGGGUGACCGCUUGUGUUUACCAAGUGCUGUAAG